CCUACGGGUGGCUGCAGUGAGGAAUAUUGGUCAAUGGACGUGAGUCUGAACCAGCCAAGUAGCGUGAAGGAUGACUGCCCUAUGGGUUGUAAACUUCUUUUAUAUGGGAAUAAAAUGUUCCACGUGUGGUGUUUUGUAUGUACCAUAUGAAUAAGGAUCGGCUAACUCCGUGCCAGCAGCCGCGGUAAUACGGAGGAUGCGAGCGUUAUCCGGAUUUAUUGGGUUUAAGGGGUGCGAAGGCGGAAGAUAAAGCCAGCGGUAAAAUUGCGGGGCUAAACCUCGUCGAGCCGUUGAAACUGGUUUUCUUGAGUGAGCGAGAAGUAUGCGGAAUGCGUGGUGUAGCGGUGAAAUGCAUAGAUAUCACGCAGAACUCCGAUUGCGAAGGCAGCAUACCGGCGCUCAACUGACGCUGAUGCACGAAAGUGUGGGUAUCGAACAGGAUUAGAUACCCUAGUAGUC
rnacentral:rRNA from 1 species